UACGGAGGGUGCAAACGUUGCUCGGAAUUAUUGGGCGUAAAGCGCACGUAGGCGGUUCGUUAUGUCGGAUGUGAAAGCCCUCGGCUUAGCCGAGGAAGUGCAUCCGAAACUGGCGAGCUUGAGUACGGAAGAGGGUCUCGGAAUUCCCGGUGUAGAGGUGAAAUUCGUAGAUAUCGGGAGGAACACCAGUGGCGAAGGCGGAGACCUGGGCCGAUACUGACGCUGAGGUGCGAAAGCGUGGGGAGCAAACAGG
rnacentral:rRNA from 1 species